rnacentral:lncRNA from 1 species
CAGGGCGCUCUUGGCUGGUGGUGGCUUUUCUACGUGGACUUACCGGCAAGGCUACGAUGUCAGCAUUCCUGUCUACAGCCCGCUGUCCGCUGAGGUGGCUCUUCCGGAGAAGGGACCGGGUCCCCGGCGAUACUUCCUCCUGUCCUCGCAGAUGGCCAUCCAUCCUGAGUACAGAGAGGAGCUCAAGCCCUGCAGGCCAAACAUGGGGAGGCUGUGCUGGUCCUGGAUAAGUGCACCAACCUCUCCGAGGGCGUCCUUUCUGUCCGCAAGCGCUGCCACAAGCACCAGGUCUUUGAUUACCCCCAGGUGCUGCAGGAGGCGACUUUCUGCGUGGUCCUUCGAGGUGCUCGGCUGGGCCAGGCCGCACUGAGUGACGUGUUGCGGGCUGGCUGUGUCCCAGUUGUCAUCGCAGACUCCUACAUCCUGCCUUUCUCUGAAGUCCUUGACUGGAAGAGGGCGUCUGUGGUGGUGCCGGAAGAGAAGAUAGCUGACAUGUAUGGUGUCCUGCAGAGCAUCCCGAGAAGACAGAUGGAAGAGAUGCAGAGGCAGGGCUCUGGAAGCCUUGCCUUGUGAAAGGUCCCUUGGAUCGAGAGUGAAAGCAGCCAUGUUCAGUCCACCCUCUGUGCGUCAGCUCUCUGUCACUAACCUGCGAUGAUGACAAAAGCUUAUGAAGACAAAAGGCUGCUUUUGCCACACAACCUUGGAGGUUCCAGCCCUUGCGCAGGUGAACGCACUGCCCUCAGGGCCCGAUGGGCUGGUGACACAUCGUGGAGGGGAAGUGGAAGAAAGGGGAAGGGGGCCAGAUCCCCUGCAGGUCCACCUCAAUGCCUAAAGACCUCCCAGCGGGUUCCUGCUCUCCCAGGAUCCUACGCUGGGGACCAACCAACCCCUCUAACACAGGAGACUUUGGGGGACACCAGGAUCCAGACUGUAGCAACACUAAACAUCUCAUGAGGCAGUGAUAAGCUUCUUAGGUUGCCUGGUUGGCUGCCAGUCCUGGGGCUGAGCUGUGCCCGUGGGCAGGGAUCUGGCUUCUCUGGGCCUCAGACUCUUGUCUGCAAACCUCUUGGCAUCCUGACCAGCAACAGGUGCAGGUCGAUUUUAGCCUCCCUGCUGGCUUUCCAUCUUUCCCAGUUGUUACUUAACUGCUUGGCCUCAUUUAAUGAGUUUCAGUGAGUCAGAACAUCAGACUAGAGAUUUCUAGAUUUUCACUCUAAACCUGGGAAGAAGAAAAUGCCCUUUAAAGAGUCAGGGCGUUUGUGCUACAGAGCACAACUUUUGUUUGUCACUUUUUGUGGCAUCUUUAUUUGUUAAUAAAGUAAUCACAGAGUCAUAUGCUAAAGCACAUUCCAUCUUGCACUGGAUUCGAGGCCAGAUGGGUUCAGAAGCAACCUGGGAGGUGACACAGCAGAUCCUGUCUGGUCACCUCUCCCCACACCACCUGCACUUUGAGAAA